rnacentral:rRNA from 1 species
GACGAGGGAUCCUAGCGUUGUUCGGAAUCACUGGGCGUAAAGCGCACGUAGGCGGAUUGUUAAGUCAGGGGUGAAAUCCUGGAGCUCAACUCCAGAACUGCCUUUGAUACUGAUAGUCUCGAGUCCGGAAGAGGUGAGUGGAAUUCCGAGUGUAGAGGUGAAAUUCGUAGAUAUUCGGAGGAACACCAGUGGCGAAGGCGGCUCACUGGUCCGGUACUGACGCUGAGGUGCGAAAGCGUGGGGAGCAAACAGG